AAAUUGAAGAGUUUGAUCAUGGCUCAGAUUGAACGCUGGCGGCAGGCCUAACACAUGCAAGUCGAACGGUAACAGGAAGCAGCUUGCUGCUUCGCUGACGAGUGGCGGACGGGUGAGUAAUGUCUGGGAAACUGCCUGAUGGAGGGGGAUAACUACUGGAAACGGUGGCUAAUACCGCAUAACGUCGCAAGACCAAAGAGGGGGACCUUCGGGCCUCUUGCCAUCAGAUGUGCCCAGAUGGGAUUAGCUUGUUGGUGAGGUAACAGCUCACCAAGGCGACGAUCCCUAGCUGGUCUGAGAGGAUGACCAGCCACACUGGAACUGAGACACGGUCCAGACUCCUACGGGAGGCAGCAGUGGGGAAUAUUGCACAAUGGGCGCAAGCCUGAUGCAGCCAUGCCGCGUGUAUGAAGAAGGCCUUCGGGUUGUAAAGUACUUUCAGCGGGGAG
rnacentral:rRNA from 1 species